rfam:Puccinia triticina 1-1 BBBD Race 1 supercont2.38, whole genome shotgun sequence.
GCGUCUGUAGCCUAGUUGGUAAAGGCAGCACUCUAGUAUGUGUCUCAGCAUAGCUGAGGUUGUGAGUUCGACUCUCACCAGACACA